rnacentral:lncRNA from 1 species
GUUGAACUGACUGUAAAGUUAUCUCUUUUACAAGAGCUUGAAUUCUUUCAUCCAUGGCAGCGGUUCAAGCCAUGGGAACAGAUGCAAAUACCACACAGGUUUUUUGAAUCUUGGGGAAAGGUGAGGAUGGCACAUGUCAGCAGCAGAGGCGUUGGGAUCAGGGGCCCAGGAUCAGAGCCACUGCGAGCGCAGCACUCAGGCUGAGGCCAGAGAGGGUGGAAGAAUGGCAGGCAGACAUACGACGCGCCUUCCCCCGUGCACUCCUGUAAAGCUGCCUCUCUCAACCAGGUCCUAUCCUGGGAGAAGGAAGGGCCAACUCUUGAGAGGCAAGCAGCUUUGUCUGGAAGGUCGGACUUCAGCUGACCAGGCGAAAUCCUGAAUUGACUGGACAAGUACCCAAAAGAGACUGUCGUGCACGAAGAGAAACUGAGUUACCCACAAGUGUGAGUAUUGCUUGUCAUUACAGAGCAGAAGUAAGGACUUGCGAGCGAGUCGGCUCUAUAUUGGCGGAAGUGAAAGAACAUUGCAUUUCUGGUCAUCUGAGUCAUAGCACGUAAGUUUAAAUCUAAACUUUGUGGAGGAGGUCAAGUCCUCAGUACGCUAAUUAGGAGACUGCCUGCUCAUCUGGGUGAGCUAUCUGAGAAUAACAGCUAGGUCUCAGCCUUCGUCGACUCAAGAAAGAAAGUCUCAGGUUCAUAUGUGAAUUCUUAUCCUGUCCAAGCUAUUAUUCUAGUGGAAAUAUGAUUAAGAACAAUCCAGGGUCACAAGGAAGCCCAGCGCACCCCCAUAAGGAAAGAGCCGCGUGCCUUUCCUUCCUCCUGAUGUAAGGCAU